rnacentral:lncRNA from 1 species
GUUUCAAAAUAAGUCAAACCACCACACUUCCGCUGCACACUCUGAUUUAAUUCAUUUAAUUCUCUAAAGUCACAAAAUGAUUUCUGACUAAAGUAUCACUUUGCAUUGAGACUAAGAAACUCCAAAUUUCAAAUUUCCAAGUAGAACUAGAGCAAAACCUCUAGAUCUUUUUGUUCUCGAUUUAUAUAGAGUAUACUAACCAUAACUAACCUUCAAGGCAUUAAUCAAGUUUAACGUCACUACAUGAUCUUCACAACCAUUUUAGGAUCCAAAAUAUCUAGGUUUAAUUUAAAAAAGUUAACCUUGGAUUUUCUCAACAAUUCAAUUAGACAAUCUAUAUUGAUUUUCUUUCCAAAAAGAUUUACUUCAAUUCUAUGGGUUAAAAGCCAUUGAGCCAAUACACUAUGAUUAGAAAUUAACUCUAUCAAUCUCCAGAUCUUUCUCCACCAAAAUUCUUAACAUUCAUCAGCAAUGCUAUAUAUGAUAAUUCAUGUAAGCAUCUCAUGAUCGAAGUCUUUACUCAAUAUGACAUUUAUUAGUGGCUUCAUCAAUAAUGACAAAAGAUCCCUGCUCAAAUCUUAAACCUAGGCUUGAGUUUUACAUCAACACAUCAAAUAGUCUUCUACAAUUACAAGUAAAAUCCAGUAGCCCAAUCCAAACAUGAGAAUUCAAAUAAUUAGAAUUCCCCCAUCAAUAUGCAUACUCUAUGGCCUCAAAAUAAUCAAAUACAUUAAUAGAAAAUAGACCUAUUUGCAAUCUCCAACAUGCCAAUACCAGAUAUAAUCCACAUACAUUUUCAACUUCGAAGAGCAUUUCUUUUCAAUAUUAUGAAAUCUCCUUAGCUCACUCCAAUACUAUAGAAGAUCUACGUACAAAUCCCACUCUAAUAAUUAGCAGCAAUACCAAAAGUACGAUCACAUCAAAA